rnacentral:rRNA from 1 species
GGAGGGUGCAAACGUUGCUCGGAAUUACUGGGCGUAAAGCGCGUGCAGGCGGGUCUGACAAGUCUCGUGUGAAAGCCCUGGGCUCAACCCAGGAAGUGCACGGGAAACUGGCAGACUAGAGUGCGGGAGAAGAGGGCGGAAUUCCCGGUGUAGAGGUGAAAUUCGUAGAUAUCGGGAGGAACACCAGUAGCGAAGGCGGCUCUCUAGACCGACACUGACGCUCAGACGCGAAAGCGUGGGUAGCAAACAGGAUUAGAUACCCUGGUAGUCCACGCCGUAAACGAUGGAUACUAGAUGUUGGGGGCUUGACCCCUUCAGCGUCGCAGCUAACGCAUUAAGUAUCCCGCCUGGGGAGUACGGUCGCAAGACUA